AUUGAACGCUGGCGGCAGGCCUAACACAUGCAAGUCGAGCGGGGUUUUCGGACCUAGCGGCGGACGGGUGAGUAAUGCGUAGGAAGCUGCCCGAUAGGAGGGGGAUACCAGUUGGAAACGACUGUUGAUACCGCAUAAUGUCUACGGACCAAGUGUGGACCUUCGGGCCACAUGCUAUCGGAUGCCGCCUACGGUGGGAU
rnacentral:rRNA from 1 species